rnacentral:rRNA from 1 species
CCCUUAGAUGUUCUGGGCCGCACGCGUGCGACACUGAGUGGAUCAGCGGGUCAGGUUGCGCGAAAGCGUUUCCUAAUCUUUAAAUCCGCUCGUGAUGGGGAUUGACGGUUGCAAUUUUCUGUCAUGAACGAGGAAUACCUUGUAAGCGCGGGUCAUCAUCCCGCGCUGAAUACGUCCCUGCCCUUUGUACACACCGCCCGUCGCUCCUACCGAUUGAGUGGUCCGGUGAGGCUUUGGGAUCUGAGCGGAAAGAGCGUUUCGCUGUUUCUGCUCGGAAAACUCAGUCGAACCUUAUCAUUUAGAGGAAGGAGAAGUCGUAACA